rnacentral:rRNA from 1 species
AACAACCCAGACCGCCAGCUAAGGUCCCAAAGUCAUGGUUAAGUGGGAAACGAUGUGGGAAGGCCCAGACAGCCAGGAUGUUGGCUUAGAAGCAGCCAUCAUUUAAAGAAAGCGUAAUAGCUCACUGGUCGAGUCGGCCUGCGCGGAAGAUGUAACGGGGCUAAACCAUGCACCGAAGCUGCGGCAGCGACACUGUGUGUUGUUGGGUAGGGGAGCGUUCUGUAAGCCUGUGAAGGUGGCCUGUGAGGGUUGCUGGAGGUAUCAGAAGUGCGAAUGCUGACAUAAGUAACGAUAAAGCGGGUGAAAAGCCCGCUCGCCGGAAGACCAAGGGUUCCUGUCCAACGUUAAUCGGGGCAGGGUGAGUCGACCCCUAAGGCGAGGCCGAAAGGCGUAGUCGAUGGGAAACGGGUUAAUAUUCCCGUACUUGGUGUUACUGCGAAGGGGGGACGGAGAAGGCUAUGUUGGCCGGGCGACGGUUGUCCCGGUUUAAGCGUGUAGGUGUGUGUUCCAGGUAAAUCCGGUUCACUUUAACACUGAGGCGUGACGACGAGGCACUACGGUGCUGAAGCAACAAAUGCCCUGCUUCCAGGAAAAGCCUCUAAGCAUCAGGUAACAUCAAAUCGUACCCCAAACCGACACAGGUGGUCAGGUAGAGAAUACCAAGGCGCUUGAGAGAACUCGGGUGAAGGAACUAGGCAAAAUGGUGCCGUAACUUCGGGAGAAGGCACGCUGACACGUAGGUGAAGUGAUUUACUCAUGGAGCUGAAGUCAGUCGAAGAUACCAGCUGGCUGCAACUGUUUAUUAAAAACACAGCACUGUGCAAACACGAAAGUGGACGUAUACGGUGUGACGCCUGCCCGGUGCCGGAAGGUUAAUUGAUGGGGUCAGCGCAAGCGAAGCUCCUGAUCGAAGCCCCGGUAAACGGCGGCCGUAACUAUAACGGUCCUAAGGUAGCGAAAUUCCUUGUCGGGUAAGUUCCGACCUGCACGAAUGGCGUAAUGAUGGCCAGGCUGUCUCCACCCGAGACUCAGUGAAAUUGAACUCGCUGUGAAGAUGCAGUGUACCCGCGGCAAGACGGAAAGACCCCGUGAACCUUUACUAUAGCUUGACACUGAACAUUGAGCCUUGAUGUGUAG